UACAUUGUCUGCAAAUAUUAUUCAUUUCUAAACAUUGAGAAGAUUGUAUACAUUAAGCAUGGAGCUUCAUAAUUCACGUCUUUUUUUAUUUAGUAUAGAUUAUUUUAAACCAUUCCUUGACCUAAUUUUUAAGUCAUUGAUUUGACAAAUGAGUUUCAUUUUGCCAUGUUUUCUAAUCUGAGCUCAAAAUCCUAGAACUGUAAGCCACUAGAUCCAUAUGCACAUGCCUGAAAAUAGAUUAAGUAAGUAUGCCUUUCAGAAAGGACAGGGAAAAAAAAAAUCACCUGGGUGGUUUAAUACUGAUAAGUACAAAUGACAAAGCAAACAGGAAAACAAUAGCACUUGGCUCAGUGCUAUUCUUCUUUGCCCUUAGGACAUCAGGAUUAUUGUCUUGACUAAAAAAAAAAAACGUUGAAACUGAUCCACUUGUUACAGACAACAUAAGGUAUUGAGCAAACAAUUGCGUAGAUGGCAUUCUGAAGAAAUAUGGAGUAAUUUCUCUGUGUAAUUAUUAAUGGUCACACCGAUUCCAGAUGUGAAGUACCGCGGUUUUGAAGAAUUUUGACAACAUCUAUAAUGCUGCCAAUUUUCAAACCUGAAAAAAAAAAUAGUUCUCAAAAACACUGUUCAUUAUCACCAGAUGUAAUUCUUACUUAUAAUAAUAAUAAUGGUUAAACGGAUUACUGAUAAAUUGAGAAGGAUGUUAUUUAGAAGAUUUUCACUGAAGUUUUAUCCAUAGGUCAAAUUAUUUUCUGGUUCGUAUUGAUUUCAGUUGAUUUAUUACCAGUUUAAGUCUAGCCCAUACAUUUCUGGAGAAGCAGUUUAACAUCGAUGCAUUGAGGUGUCUGAAUUUUUUCAGGUAUUGAAGAUCAGUCAUGUCAGAGCUGAAAAACAUGACAGUGAUGCUGAUCUGAUUUCCUUAUAAAAAUAUCUGAGUUAAAUACUUAAUAAGGUUUCCAGCAGGUAAUCAAUAACCAGUGGACUCCUCAUAGAAACCUGUUACACCACAAUGGCCAGAUGCAUCUUACACUGUGCUAGUAUUCUUUAUCUUACUGUAUAUUUAAGAGUAGGCAGUUGCCACCACUAGCCUCUGUCAUCUCUAGAGCAACUAAUUACUACCAUAUCUGCUUUCUGUCAAAAGUCAGCAAAGAAAGGAAGCAAUAUUUGUUGUCAUUAAAACGGUGCCCAGAUUGUCUACCCAUUCUCAUUAAGAGGGCAGACAGAUUGUCUGUAUGUUGAAGGAACAGAAUGAGUUUUCAGGUUCCAAACCUCUAGAAGAUGUGAAAGAGGAGACUGGCUGUGAGAGCUAACAUGAUACACCAAGAGCAGAGGAGCAUAUAAGCACAGCCCACACCUGACCAAAGUGUAAGAUAACAGAAUAACAACAAAGUAGUCCUCACAUAAGGAUGCAACAGAACUACAAGCAGGCAAGUGGGAUGCUGAAUCUGAUCUCCUCAGCACAACAGAGACUGCACUGAAUGGAUGUACUUUGGUGCAGAGGAAGAAGGAAUUACCUGAAUUUAAGUUGAUGCACAUGCUGAAAUUGAGUUAACACUCCUGCAAAAAGAUGUCAAGGCAUUCCCAUUUCUGGCUGGUUAACAAAGCAGUGACGUCCUGAGGUUCCAGAAUGUCUUCAUUUCACCUGGUUCACCAAAGGAAUAUCAUCCUGUGAAAGUUUCUUAGCCUUCAUAUUUGCAAAAAGACUUAAAUGUCACUGAUCUUCUUUGAAUGGCAAUCCUGCUACUGUUCCAGUACUCUGCAUAUUAUCUGAAGCUUCUUCAUCUUCUACAUCUGAAGCUUCUUCAUCUUCAUCUACAUAUACUUCUACAUCUGUGUAUAUCAAAGGAGUCAUGUCAAGAUGAAUGACAGUCAUCUGUGCGUAUGUUUAACUCAUAUCAAUUCUUCAACAGAGGUUCUUACAAAAAAAUUGGCCAGAGGCUAAUUUAGUAAGAGAAUUUAGAUUGAUAUUUGGGGGGUUUCAAUUUUUACCUUUUCUUGAGAUUUCUGAAACUCAACAAGAACAUGUAUACAUUCAAAACAAGCUCCAUUAUAUACUGAGAACCCCAAAAAGUCAUUUGCUGUGACAAACAGAAAUCUUUCUCCACCUCCAAAAGCUCUUGCUUCAACAUGAUAGCUGUCCUGCAACAAAAAUAUUACUUUCAUACUGAAAAAACAUCAUUUGCAAACAAAAACAGUCAUAGUCACAUGGACAGAAAACAGAUCUCAAUAGUAAAUACAAAACAUUACGUGAUAAAAUAAAAAAAAAAUGUGAAAAGAAGUGUCUUUAAAAAACCUUAACAGUGAUGCAUCAUUUGCCAUCAUACCAGUUUCUCUGCUUUUUGGUAACUAAUGCAGUUGUUCUUCUCUCACUGGUAGCAAUCUGAAUUAAAUACUUUUUCAACUGCAAAAGGAAAUGCUACUAUUCAACUGAGCAGCAUCCACAAGUGCAUCUACUAUUGUAUACUGAUUCUCUGCAACAAAGGAAAUUCUGAGUACCCUUAAUCAUGGUUUAAAUACGGCAAAAAAGUGAUUCCUGAAAACAGAGAAUUCUUUGUAUGUUUCAUUCUCUAUGCUGUACAUAUAUUUCUGUUGCUUGGCAAAGCUGCUUUGCCUCCAUAAUCAGACCAGAGCCAAAUUUCUUCCAGAACUCUACUAAAAUAUCCAGUGCAGUUGUACUGCACAUCUACAGCUGGAAAACUGUGACUGAUGAAAUUAUUAAGAACUCACAUGCAAUGGCAUGGCACCACCAUUAAGCUAGGUGUAAUACAAUACAACAGAAACAUGCUAGUCUGGGAGAGCAGAGCAAAACAAAUGGCAGAAUACACUGGGAAGGGGGAAAGAGUCCAUGUAUGGUAUAUGUGCCUUUUUGUCUCUUUUCUUUGAUUUAAAACAAUAAAUUACUUUUAUUAUGAAUACA